rnacentral:rRNA from 1 species
UAAUACGUAGGGUCCAAGCGUUGUCCGGAUUUAUUGGGCGUAAAGAGCUCGUAGGUGGUUCGGUAAGUCGGAUGUGAAAACUCGGGGCUCAACCCCGAGACGCCAUCCGAUACUGCUGUGACUUGAGUCUGGUAGGGGAGAUCGGAAUUCCUGGUGUAGCGGUGAAAUGCGCAGAUAUCAGGAGGAACACCGGUGG